CUUAUCGACCUUAGUUUGAGGACAAACCUACAUAGGCUGUGUUCUCACAGGCUGCCUCCAGAAACACUGCGACCAAUCAGGAACCUCCACCGUGCCCCAUCCCCCAGCAAGCUCCUCGGCCCAGUCUGAGCAGCCAGUCAGGGGGCCACUGAGCUGUGGCACGUCGAACCGCAUUACCCAAAAUUCCCUGUGUAUCCCCAAGGCUCGACUACGUUGGGAGUGUGUUGUGUCGUCUGAGGCCUGUCUGCAAGCUUGGGGCAUCAAUAUUGAUCACUGUCCUGUCAACAUACCCAAUCAAGUUGGCCUCAGUCAAUGAUUCCUUAUUUUUAAAGAAUCGAUGCAUGGAAGACAGUGAACAUGUGACGCACUCCUUCAGACAGCUGAUUGACAGCAAGUCGCCCCCGUGGCAGAAAAUCCAUGGCCUUCUUCCCUCACCUUUACUCGGACUGCUGUCUCUCUGCUGCUGAUUUAUUGUGAUGCUAAUUUGAUUUUGGCUCACUGGCCUCCCACUUCUUUCUGCUGUUACCUUCGAGAGGGCUGGAUAAGUCUCCUUCUGCUGGUUUUGGCAUUAUACUAAAAAAAGUGAGAGUUUUUUUACGGGGAGGGAAAGUGACUUACUUUUUGUUUAAGAUGUACAGAUGGAAAUUAGAUUGUUUAUUAAACAAUGACUGAAGCUGAGGUCAUGUGAAGAGCUUUACAUUUUAAAGUAAGUGCGGUAAUGCGCGGUGACCCAGUUAUAUUGGACCGCAAUCAAAUAUAAAACCGAUCAAAAAAUUGAAAGCAGUAAUUGUUUUGGUCAGUCGAUGGAUUUAAUGGUCAGUGAUGACACUGUAUUAUGUAGUCUUGUCUAGAGUAUUGUGCAACAAAUUGUCAUUGUCUGAUUAUAUUUAUUGUUAUUCAUAUUAGUUGUUUUUUGUUCACCUCCUUUAUGUUUCUAAUUUCCCCAGUUCCUCUGUCACUCUGUACAUGUCCUCAUGUUUACCUGCGUUAUUUGUACUUUAGCUAUUUUCUGUUUUAUUUUGAAGGUUAAUGUUUUCAUUGGUAUUUCUCAUUGGUACUUCCUUUGUUAGAUUUCCCUCCUUGCUGAUUGUCUGACUUGCCCUUAGUGGUUCCAGCUGUUCUCAAUUACUUCCCUGUGUAUUUAAAAUCCUGUCUCUCCUUCAGUCUUUUGUCAGUCUGCUCUCCUUGUGCUUUUGUUCCUGUUUCCUGUGGUUGCCUUUCCUGGAUUCCUUUUUUCUUUGAAUCAAACCUCUUGUCAUUGUGUUUCUCUGUACUUUUUGUCUGUGUGUGUGUGUAUGUUUUUAUCGGCAUAUUAUUAAAAUUCAAAUUUUGUUGGCUCAAUCUGCUUCUUCUGUCUGCAUUUGGAUUUUGAUAACUCAUGACAUAAAUGUACAAUGCCUAAUGUGAAUGGGACACAGAAGGUCACAGCCCAUUGAGGCGAGGUCAAAGUCAUCUUAUAGCCCUUUUCCACUAGUACUUACUUGGCUCGCCUCAACUCUGCUUGACAAGGUUUUUAUGUUUCUCCAUUAAGUGGUAGUACGUGGAACCAGGUACUUUUUUAGUACCUACUCAGCCAGGGUUUUAAGCAAUCUGAGUCGACAAAAACGUGAAAUCUACAGACUGCAUGGCACCAAUUGGCCAAUCAGUGGCAUAAUUCAGUUAGUCAUGAGAGCUACUCCGUCACAAAAAUCAAAACUACCAUGAGGAAAAUGGCUAUACAAAAACCAAAUGUGACAAAAAAAACAUACUUCAAGCAGCAGGUAUACCAUCACCUCAACCUCCUCCACGGUUGUUUUGUGUUUGUGUCACAUAAUAAAUGAAUCACAGGCUUUUGAGCAUUUUGCUGUA